GACUGAUGUCCUACAAUCCCCUUUGAAAGCAUGCUUUCAACCAUCUAAGAAUCUCUUGCAACACUCCACGUCCUAAAGGUUACAUCACCUCCAAAAAGUAUCACCUUGAGGACCAAAUCUUUUACACAUGGAUCUUCAGAGGGCAUUCGACAAAACUGCAGCACAUGCCAAGAAGAGGAACUGCUGAAUCAUAUGACAGAUAAGGAUGUUUUCAAUUGGCUGACAUGAUCACAGAUGCUGAAAAGUUCUUCAGGGGCUGUCUGCAUGCUGGAAAGCCAGGAGAGCCAGUAGCUGCUCAGUCCAAGAUGCUCAGAAUGAGAGAGGGACCAGGGAUACAGCCCCAGUCCAAAGGUGAAGACCCCAAAGCCCUCCGGAGGGCCACUGGUGUGAGUCUGCAUUCAAAGGCUGCAGAGCCCACACCCUGACGUCAGUGGGUGACAGCUGCAGAAAAACAUACUCGCUCUUGGGAAAGGAGACUCAGGCACAACCCAGAGUACGCUUUACCGAUUCUCGAGGCACCCCUUGAUCCAGGGAGAUUGACACCCAAAUUGUCCAUCUCAUAAAGAGAGAGGCCAAGGAUCACUAAGGUGCCCGAGCAGGAGUGACAGGGGAUUUUGGAAGUGGAUCUGCUCCUUCAGCUGCCCAAGCAGUUGCCCCUAGGAGCUGAGAUGACCUGGUCAGCUGAGCCCUUCUUGAAUUCCUGAUCCAUAAAACUGUGACCAAAACAAAAUGGUAUUUUCAACCAUUAAAUGUUUAGUCUGUUUUUAUGUAUGCAGCAGUAGAUAAAAGAAAUACUAAGUCAUACAGACUGCUAAAAAACAUCUGUUUUCACCUUAUCUGCAUUUCUUUUAGAGGCAGCAAGAGUCUCCUGCCCCUGAGCCUGCUACAGUGUGGGUUGAUUUUCCUCUAAUUUCCCCGCUGUCCACUUAGGGUUUAUUUUCCUAAGUCAGUUAUCAGCAGUCCAUCUGCUUUUCAGCUUCCAAAAUUUAAUUAACUAUAAUUCCUCAUUGCUUAC
ensembl:lncRNA